UUUAUUACCAGCAAUCCAGUUUAUUGUGGAAAAUUUCCAGUCACUUACAGCCACUUGAGCUUUGAUAAUAUCAUUACUUUCAAGUCUUUAUGAAUUAAUAGAUAUGUGAGUUUCACUGUUUCUUCCAUGAAAAUUAUCCACGUUCUUAAUUCUGGUAAAUAAUAACUAAAAUUUUAGCUUCUUCACUAACGGCUAUCUUGGAGUUGUCUGCUGCUUACACGUUCUAUUCCAGCUUGAAAUAUUGAAAUACUGAUCAAGCAUAAGAACAGAGUUGAUGAGACAAGGUUUCCUCAUCAAAAUCAAUUGUACUAAGAUUUCGAUAUAUUAUAUUCAAAUGACCCAAUUUUUGCUUGUUUUGAUGGGUCUUCUCUCAACAUAUGUUGAGUCUUUGUCCUAGAGCUUGAUGGGAUUUUCACUACUUUUAUUUUCCUUCAAUUUCAGUGUCCUCUUUACUAAACUCUGUGUUUCUUUUUUGUCUUCCCCUAAUUCUGUCAGGUUCUUUUUAUCUUUUGUAUUUUUGUUUUUUGCAUUUGUUGGCUGUGCAGGGUGAACGUGUGGGCUUGUCUGUGUUUCUUUACGGGUAUGUUCACUCAUCCCACUCACGGUGUCCAACUCAUCUCCUAGCACUCAAAGUCCCUCAUUAACUAGGAUUGAAACAACUGUUCUAGACUUAUCGUCUCAUGUAUGGAGGCAAGGUGCAAAGUUAUUUCCUCUUCUGGGAGAAUUCACACAGAAAGGGUGCUAUAACAAAGCCACUAAAGAUAUACUUAGGAAGAGGGGCGAUAUUGGGAAUAAAAGUACAAUGGAAAAAAGGUUAAAACUUUAUAGGGUAAAGUAGGUUUUUUCACCACUCGCACAGAGAGUUCUUGGGAGAUGCCAUUUGUAGGCUGUUGAAACUGCAACAAGUUACAGUGGUCGCAAGCUGUUGAAAUUGCAAAACAAGUUGCAGUAGUUGUAAUGGGCACGUCCUUCCCGCCCAACUCAGCCCAUAAAUAGGCCUCCAGUCUGCAUGAGAAAUCAAUGAGUCAUUCCAUGUAACUCUCUUUCUCUCUCUCUGAUAUCUUUAACAUUCCAACGGAUGAUUUUACUAAUCAUCUUCAACCGUCACCAUCACAUUCCCCGCCUUUUCUCACACCUUCUAAUCCUUUGAUUCUUUCUCAUAAUUAAUCGAGUUCUCUAGUCGCUUAAAUUCCCUACUCUUCCUUUUUCUUAUUUUUUUUUUCUUGAUUCAUUUAUUCACAAUCCUGCUAUGGCACUUAACAAGGUCUCUUUCCUCUAUGCCAUCGAACAAAUCUAUAACUUGGCUUUCGAGACCCUCAAAACUUACUCCAAAUUUAGUAAACCUUCUAAAGCAGCUUAAUACCCGUUCUGAUUCCAGAGACGGCACCUGAAACCCACAUGAUUGUUCUGACUCCAAAUGCGAGAAAAUAUCCCCCUCCAUUAUAGCACCAUUUUCCACCUCUUCAAUAUUCCAGCGGCACUCUAACUAUCCCGGAGAAGAAGUACAGAUUGGUUGAGGGAGCAAGAGGAUGGCUCUAGUGAGAGGAACUGACCUGGGAAAAUGAAGCUUUUCCACAGAAAAAGACGUUACACCAACUAGCCUCACCGGAAAAACAGCUAAAGCCUCCGGCCCUCACCGAAACAAGGAAAGAAGAAGACCCCAAGGAGGAAAACAACGACGACUCGGAAGAUCAAUCGGGCUAAUUGCAUUAGCUGAUUCCCUAUGCUUCUGGGUUGGGCUUUCGAGUGUGCCAAUCUGGACUUUGGUUUUGACCCAUUUCUGCUUCUAUUUUUAGUAAACAUGGGCUUAAAAAGCUCAAUCCGAUUAGGAUUGCAGGACUAGUACAGUGGUGAACAGAUCGCCGGUCGCAUCCUCAUCGCUCCAUACUGGGUUCCCUAUGACUUCGCUCUUCCUUCCAAAGCAGAGCUUUCCAGGGAACCUAUUGAUAAAGAAUAGUUUCCAACAGAGAUGACUGACUGCUCUUGGUUGGCACUACCUUGAGACAGCAAUACAGGAACAGGCUUGGACAUUGAGUAAAACGCCUUAUGGUCUAUUGGAUCAGUUUCAUUUGUCACCUGAGCUCUCAAAAUCUGCACGAUCAAGCUGUCUUGAAUCCAUGCAACUCUACUAGGGUCGCAGAAGCAAGAUGUUGCUCCCAGCAAAAAUAUGACAGACUGUUUUACUCAUUAUUAUUUUCAGUAACUUUGUACUAGUUUAAUAAUUUAUAAAGAUGGGCCUUCUCAUGGUUUCUUUCAGAGAAAUAUGGUGUCUAGAAGAAAU